GCCGUGGCGGCGUGCUAUACAUGCAGUUGACGCUUGAUUUUCACCGAAGCUUGCUUCACCGAAAAUCAAGAGUAGCGAACGGGUGAGUAACGCGUGGGUAACCUACCUAUCAGCGGGGGAUAACUAUUGGAAACGAUAGCUAGUACCGCAUAACAAUGUUGGAUGCAUAUUCGAUAUUUGAAAGUACCAACUGGUACACUGAGAGAUGGACCCGCGUUGUAUUAGCUAGUUGGUAGUGUAAUGGACUACCAAGGCGAUGAUACAUAGCCGACCUGAGAGGGUGAUCGGCCACAUUGGGACUGAGACACGGCCCAAACUCCUACGGGAGGCAGCAGUAGGGAAUCUUCGGCAAUGGACGAAAGUCUGACCGAGCAACGCCGCGUGAGUGAAGAAGGUUUUCGGAUCGUAAAACUCUGUUGUUAGAGAAGAACGUUGCAUAGAGUGGAAAAUUAUGCAAGUGACGGUAUCUAACCAGAAAGGGACGGCUAACUACGUGCCAGCAGCCGCGGUAAUACGUAGGUCCCGAGCGUUGUCCGGAUUUAUUGGGCGUAAAGCGAGCGCAGGUGGUUUAAUAAGUCUGAUGUAAAAGGCAGUGGCUCAACCAUUGUGUGCAUUGGAAACUGUUAGACUUGAGUGCAGUAGAGGAGAGUGGAAUUCCAUGUGUAGCGGUGAAAUGCGUAGAUAUAUGGAGGAACACCGGUGGCGAAAGCGGCUCUCUGGACUGUCACUGACACUGAGGCUCGAAAGCGUGGGUAGCAAACAGGAUUAGAUACCCUGGUAGUCCACGCCGUAAACGAUGAGUGCUAGUUGUUUGGGGCUAUCCAGCCCUAAGUGACGCAGCAAACGCAUUAAGCACUCCGCCUGGGGAGUACGACCGCAAGGUUGAAACUCAAAGGAAUUGACGGGGGCCCGCACAAGCGGUGGAGCAUGUGGUUUAAUUCGAAGCAACGCGAGGAACCUUACCAGGUCUUGACAUACUCGUGCUAUUCCUAGAGAUAGGAAGUUCCUUCGGGACACGGGAUACAGGUGGUGCAUGGUUGUCGUCAGCUCGUGUCGUGAGAUGUUGGGUUAAGUCCCGCAACGAGCGCAACCCCUAUUGUUAGUU
rnacentral:rRNA from 1 species